UACGGGGGGGAGCAAGCGUUGUUCGGAUUUACUGGGCGUAAAGGGCGCGUAGGCGGUCGUGACAAGUCACUUGUGAAAUCUCCGGGCUUAACUCGGAACGGUCAAGUGAUACUGUCGGACUAGAGUACAGAAGGGGCAACUGGAAUUCUCGGUGUAGCGGUGAAAUGCGUAGAUAUCGAGAGGAACACCUGCGGCGAAGCGGUUGCCUGGAGCUUGCUGACGCUGAGGCGCGAAAGCCGUGGGGAGCGAUCCGG
rnacentral:rRNA from 1 species